CGCCAUGCUUGGUUACUAACGCCAAGUGAGUCACAGCCAAUACCAGAGCUGCCACUCUGGCCUCUAGCAGCCUGGCAUCCAAUGGUGGAUACAGACUGCGGACAACAUCGUCUACACGAGGCGGUAUACGUCGGGCAACCUGAUGGGACAGUGUUACUAUUGACAGUUCCAGCAAUAGUGGUAAGACUGGCUGCAAGAGCAUGGCAAGAACGAAGCACUGCUAUACAAGGUGGAGCCAAGCCAGUAGCAUCAUCUACCCAUCUAAAAUGCAAUAAUAUCAUCUUUCUAAUAAAUUGUGUUUAAACAUUUAAAUUUUCACAAAAUUAAUCAACACUGUAAGAAAAUAAGAAAUGUAAACAAUCCAUCUUGAUAAAUUUUAUAGCAUAAAUUAGCUUAAUUUUAUGAAGAUGUCAGAAACCUAAUAUAAAUUUGAAUAAAAAUAAACUAAUGUAAAUAUGA